UGGGGAAUAUUGGACAAUGGGCGCAAGCCUGAUCCAGCAAUGCCGCGUGAGUGAUGAAGGCCUUAGGGUUGUAAAGCUCUUUCGGCGGGGACGAUGAUGACGGUACCCGCAGAAGAAGCCCCGGCUAACUUCGUGCCAGCAGCCGCGGUAAUACGAAGGGGGCAAGCGUUGUUCGGAAUUACUGGGCGUAAAGGGCGCGCAGGCGGCCUGACAAGUCAGAUGUGAAAGCCCCGGGCUCAACCUGGGAAUGGCAUUUGGGACUGUCGGGCUAGAGAUCGGGAGAGGAGAGUGGAAUUCCCAGUGUAGAGGUGAAAUUCGUAGAUAUUGGGAAGAACACCGGUGGCGAAGGCGGCUCUCUGGACCGAUACUGACGCUGAGGCGCGAAAGCGUGGGGAGCAAAC
rnacentral:rRNA from 1 species